GUAGGGAAUAUUGGGCAAUGGUCGGAAGACUGACCCAGCCAUGCCGCGUGCAGGAAGACGGCCCUCUGGGUUGUAAACUGCUUUUAUCUGGGAAGAAAAAGGCCAUGCGUGGCAAAUUGCCGGUACCAGAUGAAUAAGCACCGGCUAACUCCGUGCCAGCAGCCGCGGUAAUACGGAGGGUGCGAGCGUUGUCCGGAUUUAUUGGGUUUAAAGGGUGCGUAGGCGGCUGAUUAAGUCAGCGGUGAAAGACUUCGGCUUAACCGGAGCAGUGCCGUUGAUACUGGUUGGCGUGAGUGUCGGAGGGGUACAUGGAAUUGAUGGUGUAGAGGUGAAAUGCAUAGAUACCAUCAGGAACACCGAUAGCGAAGGCAUUGUACUGGCCGACAACUGACGCUGAUGCACGAAAGUGUGGGGAUCGAACAGGAUUAGAAACCCCGGUAGUCC
rnacentral:rRNA from 1 species